AGUCGUAACAAGGUAUCCGUAGGUGAACCUGCGGAUGGAUCAUUAACAAAGGUGUUUUUGAAGUUGUGUGAACAGUUGGAGGAGGUGGUGGUGGUGGUGGUACUGGGUGGUAUUGGGUGGUAUUGAGUGGUGUAACCUUGGUCAACCUCACUCAACCUCACUCAACCUCACUCUCCCAACCUCACUCUCCCAACCUCCACCACUCCGUCCCUAUAAUGUAUACAAACUGAUGUCUGCUAGUUUCAAACUAAAACAACUUUUAGCAACGGAUCUCUUGGCUCUC
rnacentral:misc_RNA from 1 species